rnacentral:rRNA from 1 species
GAAUGCUGACAUAAGUAACGAUAAAGCGGGUGAAAAGCCCGCUCGCCGGAAGACCAAGGGUUCCUGUCCAACGUUAAUCGGGGCAGGGUGAGUCGACCCCUAAGGCGAGGCCGAAAGGCGUAGUCGAUGGGAAACAGGUUAAUAUUCCUGUACUUGGUGUUACUGCGAAGGGGGGACGGAGAAGGCUAUGUCAGCCGGGCGACGGUUGUCCCGGUUUAAGCAUGUAGGCGGAGGUUCCAGGUAAAUCCGGUACCUUAUUAACGCUGAGGUGUGAUGACGAGGCACUACGGUGCUGAAGUGAUAAAUGCCCUGCUUCCAGGAAAAGCCUCUAAGCAUCAGGUAACACGAAAUCGUACCCCAAACCGACACAGGUGGUCAGGUAGAGAAUACCAAGGCGCUUGAGAGAACUCGGGUGAAGGAACUAGGCAAAAUGGUGCCGUAACUUCGGGAGAAGGCACGCUGAUAUGUAGGUGAAGUCCCUGCGGACGGAGCUGAAAUCAGUCGAAGAUACCAGCUGGCUGCAACUGUUUAUUAAAAACACAGCACUGUGCAAACACGAAAGUGGACGUAUACGGUGUGACGCCUGCCCGGUGCCGGAAGGUUAAUUGAUGGGGUUAGCGGCAACGCGAAGCUCUUGAUCGAAGCCCCGGUAAACGGCGGCCGUAACUAUAACGGUCCUAAGGUAGCGAAAUUCCUUGUCGGGUAAGUUCCGACCUGCACGAAUGGCGUAAUGAUGGCCAGGCUGUCUCCACCCGAGACUCAGUGAAAUUGAACUCGCUGUGAAGAUGCAGUGUACCCGCGGCAAGACGGAAAGACCCCGUGAACCUUUACUAUAGCUUGACACUGAACACUGGUCCUUGAUGUGUAGGAUAGGUGGGAGGCUUUGAAGCGUGGACGCCAGUCUGCGUGGAGCCAACCUUGAAAUACCACCCUUUAAUGGCUGGUGUUCUAACGUAGACCCGUAAUCCGGGUUGCGGACAGUGUCUGGUGGGUAGUUUGACUGGGGCGGUCUCCUCCCAAAGAGUAACGGAGGAGCACGAAGGUUGGCUAAUCCUGGUCGGACAUCAGGAGGUUAGUGCAAUGGCAUAAGCCAGCUUGACUGCGAGCGUGACGGCGCGAGCAGGUGCGAAAGCAGGUCAUAGUGAUCCGGUGGUUCUGAAUGGAAGGGCCAUCGCUCAACGGAUAAAAGGUACUCCGGGGAUAACAGGCUGAUACCGCCCAAGAGUUCAUAUCGACGGCGGUGUUUGGCACCUCGAUGUCGGCUCAUCACAUCCUGGGGCUGAAGUAGGUCCCAAGGGUAUGGCUGUUCGCCAUUUAAAGUGGUACGCGAGCUGGGUUUAGAACGUCGUGAGACAGUUCGGUCCCUAUCUGCCGUGGGCGCUGGAGAAUUGAGGGGGGCUGCUCCUAGUACGAGAGGACCGGAGUGGACGCAUCACUGGUGUUCGGGUUGUCAUGCCAAUGGCACUGCCCGGUAGCUAAAUGCGGAAGAGAUAAGUGCUGAAAGCAUCUAAGCACGAAACUUGCCCCGAGAUGAGUUCUCCCUGAGACUUUAAGUCUCCUGAAGGAACGUUGAAGACUACGACGUUGAUAGGUCGGGUGUGUAAGCGCAGCGAUGCGUUGAGCUAACCGAUACUAAUGAACCGUGAGGCUUAACCUU